rnacentral:rRNA from 1 species
GAUGAACGCUGGCGGCGUGCCUAAUACAUGCAAGUCGAGCGAACAGACGCGGAGCUUGCUCCUCUGACGUUAGCGGCGGACGGGUGAGUAACACGUGGAUAACCUACCUAUAAGACUGGGAUAACUUCGGGAAACCGGAGCUAAUACCGUAUAAUAUAUUGAACCGCAUGGUUCAAUAGUGAAAGACGGUUUUGCUGUCACUUAUAGAUGGAUCCGCGCCGCAUUAGCUAGUUGGUAAGGUAACGGCUUACCAAGGCAACGAUGCGUAGCCGACCUGAGAGGGGGGUCGGCCACACUGGAGCUGAGACACGGUCCAGACUCCUACGGGAGGCAGCAGUAGGGAAUCUGCCGCAAUGGGCGAAAGCCUGACGGAGCAACGCCGCGUGAGUGAUGAAGGUCUUCGGAUCGUAAAACUCUGUUAUGAGGGAAGAACAAAUGUGUAAGUAACUAUGCACGUCUUGACGGUACCUAAUCAGAAAGCCACGGCUAACUACGUG